rnacentral:misc_RNA from 1 species
ACGAGUGUAAAAACUCCCAAACCCCUGUGAACAUACCAUCUGUUGCUUCGGCGGGAUCGCCCCGGGCGCCUUUGCGUGCCCCGGAUCCAGGCGCCCGCCGGAGGACUCCAAACUCUUGUUUUUUAUAUGUGGCAUUAUCUGAGUGGCUUUAUAGCAAAAUAAAUCA